rnacentral:tRNA from 1 species
ACAUCGGUAGCACAGUGGUUAGUGCAGUCUGAAACAGAAAGACGCGGGUUCAAUUCCCGUCCAAUGCC